rfam:Tumebacillus sp. AR23208, complete genome.
AGGGGUAUAGUUCAGUUGGUAGAACGUCGGUCUCCAAAACCGGAUGUCGUGGGUUCAAGUCCUACUGCCCCUG